rnacentral:rRNA from 1 species
UACGUAGGGUGCAAGCGUUAUCCGGAAUUAUUGGGCGUAAAGAGCUCGUAGGCGGUUUGUCGCGUCUGCUGUGUAAACUGGAGGCUCAACCUCCAGCCUGCAGUGGGUACGGGCAGACUAGAGUGCGGUAGGGGAGAUUGGAAUUCCUGGUGUAGCGGUGGAAUGCGCAGAUAUCAGGAGGAACACCGAUGGCGAAGGCAGAUCUCUGGGCCGUAACUGACGCUGAGGAGCGAAAGCGUGGGGAGCGAACAGG